CAUUCCAAAAAUCAACCCAGCACAAAGGUGAGGUGCUUAAUCAAACUUUUUUAAAAAAAAAAGUUAAAAUAUUAUCAUUUUAACUUGAAAGUUCAAGCUACCAUCUCAUAUUUGAAAUUUCGAGUGAGGGUAAAAAUCGAAAGAACAUGAGGAGUGCCACUUUCCACCAUUUAACAGGAAAAAGAAAAGGAGGAAAAAGUUACCCAGUGAUUUAUGGUGCGUAAACAAAGCUUAUUCUUUGCAGAUGAUUCCUUCCUUGUUGGCUUUUUAUAAUUUAGCUUUAUUUCAACUUGACGAUGCUCGUGAACCAUGAGAUAGCUCAGACAUCACCACUUUCGGAAGUAUAUCGCAGACAAAAUGAGCGCAUGACACUCAUUUGGAAUGAUCGAAAACAACUUAAUCUACUAGCAUCUAGCUAGCUACCGCACACUGUGGCACUGACUGGGACACACUUUCAUACUGAAAUAAAUUUUUGACUGGUAUAAAGGCACUUACUACAAGGACACCAUGCUGUAUCAAGACUGGCUGUCUCUUUGUGUCACCACCACCAGCACGGCCUUCUGGUAUUCUCUGCAUGUUAAGUAUAAAUCCAUCUUGAGUUUUGACCUGAAAACACCCACAUGAUUCCCAUAUUAGCACACUUUCAUUUGCAUAACAUAUUAACACGCUUGACCAUAUAAAUAGUUAAACUAAAGUUUGAGCUCUUACAUCAAUCUCCUGGCAUUUGUACCCAUGAAUUAUCACCGAAGUGGAGCAUAUACCAACUGUUGGUGGAUCUAUGAAACCACUGACUAGGCCCACAGAACCACGGCCGGAGCCAUAUGCUUGAUGGGCUAUAGCCAUGAUCAUGUUUACUAGGACACAAAAGGCAUGGAGAGCCAUAACUUAGAUGCCUUUGAUUGGUGGCUAUGUGAUGCGUGAGAGUGGAGAGUGUUGGAAGGAAACUUGGCUCUAUAUAAAAGAGAAGAAAAGGAGGCACUCCAAAAUGGGAAAAGGGGUUUCAUUUCAUGGGCCUAACUGACUGGUGAGAUUUUUGGCAUAAAGUUAGGUCUUUUUUCACGUUAUAUAUAUCCCAUGACGAGGGAGUAGAUGUUGUGGGACACUUCAAGGUUUUUUUUCUCCUUCUUAUCAUGAACAAACUUUGAUAUCCUGAUUCAUCGACUAUUUAUAUGCAAUAAAACACAAUUAAUCCUAAAGAUCAUAUCUCCACCGCCCUGUGAAAGCAAAAGAGGUUUUGAGGGCAUUUUGUUUUACUUUACUUAUAUAACCAAAAAAUAUUCUAGGGUCCCACGUAGAGAUAUGUGAGCUCAUGGGGUUUUCUGCAUUCUGAAAGAGCCAAAUCGUAAAUUUAGAAGUUGUUUUGAUGUAGUGUGGAAGGCGGGAAUUUCAUAAGCUUUGAUCAUGAUCAAAAGUGAAGAGUGCAUAGCAUACAUGUGAACUACUCCAUGUCAUUUUCAGUUGUGUGUUUGGUUAUCUGUUCAUGUAUUAAAACCAUUUGUUGUUCUUACAGGCUGACAAGUAAACAUGUUUUUUUGCAAUAGAUUUGUAUAAAUAGAAAUAAUUUUAAAAGCAAAAUGAAAGAAUUUAAGCUUAACAAUCAGUUAAAUUCAAGUUAGUGUGUAUCCGACAAAUAUACCAACAUAUUAGAUCCAAAACAUUUGAGAUCAGUUAAAUUCAAGAAUUUGAUCUAUAUACUCCAAAGCUAAAAUCUAUACUGCACAAAUGUAUACUUCCCCGAUCUAUCCUCAGUGGUUAGGAGCAUAUAGCAGGAAAUGGAUAGGGAUACAAGAUACAGAAAUUGAUAUUGAUGCCAUUUCAAGCACCCAAAUGCAUAAAAUACAUCAGUAACAGGGCUUCUUCUCCAUAGUGUCAAUGUCAUGUGCCAUGACAUUUCUGCAAAUUAGAAGUACAUCGGAAAACCAACCAACACAGUACCACACCACCUCGAGGUAGAAGAAGAAAUGAUGGCGGUGGAGGGCCUAGCUGCUAUGGUCAAUCGUGUGGCUUGUUCCGUUCUCGUCCCGGGUUCGACCCUCUAUGUGCACGCCUGUCACCCCCGCAGUGCCUAACCUGCCCCUGGGCUUGCAGGAUGUCCAGUGGGCCGUGGGGAAUAGUCGUGGUGCGCGCAAGCUGGCCCGGACACCCCACGUAAAUAAAAAAAAAAAAGAAAAAAGAAAAAAAAAAGAAAUGAUGGCGGUGUCCAGUAAGGGAAAAAGGGGUCCUGAGGGAAAGAUGGAAACAGAUCAUGUGCAAAAGACGAGCCCCUGCUGUCUCUGCUAUCAUUUCACAUGGAAAGUUGGGCUCACCAGGCUAUCGAUAUUAUUCCAUUCUGAAAGUUGGGCUUUGACUAUUUGUGUGUUUCACACUGCUGUCCAAUACAUUGUGACUUUCCGAUGGUCCUCUAUUGUUUACAGGUUAAUGUCUAGGAGAUCCAGAUAUAAUAAGAUAUGGAUGCGGUAAUACUCAAUUCAUUGAGUAGUUUAUAAUUUA